GUGAGCAGUCGAGAAACCUCCGCAAUGCGCGAAAGCGCGACGGGGUUACCCCGAGUGCCGUCCGCUGAGGACGGCUUUUGCCCAGUGUAGCCAGCUGGGCGAAUAAGGAGAGGGCAAGUCUGGUGUCAGCCGCCGCGGUAAUACCAGCUCUCCGAGUGGUGGGGACGCUUAUUGGGCCUAAAGCAUCCGUAGCCGGUCUGGCAAGUCCCUUGUUAAAUCCAACGAUUCAAUCGUUGGACUGCAAGGGGAUACUGCCAGACUAGGGGGCGGAGAGGCCGACGGUAUUCCCGGGGUAGGGGUGAAACUCCUAUAAUCCCGGGAGGACCACCAGUGGCGAAGGCUGUCGGCUAGAACGCGCCCGACGGUGAGGGGAUGAAAGCUGGGGGAGCGAACCGGGAUUAGAUACCCCUGU
rnacentral:rRNA from 1 species